UGAACGCUGGCGGCGUGCUUAACACAUGCAAGUCGAACGGGAAUUACUUUUAGCUUGCUAAGUUGUAAUCUAGUGGCGGACGGUGAGUAACGCGUGGUAACCUGCCUUAUACAGGGGGACAACAGUUGGAAACGACUGCUAAUACCGCAUAAGCGCACAGAUAGGCAUCUAUCAGUGUGAAAAACUCCGGUGGUAUAAGAUGGACCCGCGUCUGAUUAGCUAGUUGGUGAGGUAACGGCCCACCAAGGCGACGAUCAGUAGCCGGCCUGAGAGGGCAAUCGGCCACAUUGGGACUGAGACACGGCCCAAACUCCUACGGGAGGCAGCAGUGGGGAAUAUUGCACAAUGGAGGAAACUCUGAUGCAAGCGACGCCGCGUGAGUGAAGAAGUAUUUCGGUAUGUAAAGCUCUAUCAGCAGGAAAGAAAAUGACGGUACCUGACUAAGAAGCCCCGGCUAACUACGUGCCAGCAGCUGC
rnacentral:rRNA from 1 species